CUAGUUUGCGUUGUUAACCCAUAUAGGUAUAAUUUGCAAACACUGGUAUUAAUUAGCAAACACUGGUAAUUUUAUUCAUAUCCACUCUGUUCCUUAGUAUCCAGUGACCUUGUGAAAGCUUACUGUCUCUCCUACGCAAUGCUAUCAACAGACAACAGCAACCAAACAUAGAUCAUUCCUCAUGCUUCCAAGUUCCAGUUCCAGGAAUCUAGGUGUUUCUCUUGGAGUUUUGCCAUUAGCCCUUCCAUUACACGUGUGUCACGGUUGAUACAUUAUAGAUGUAAUCGUUUGGGCGUAUCUAGCAUUUUUAAACGAUUUUCCGUUCAUUAUUAACUAUAUAAUCAUCAAUAUUAGGCUAAUUAAUAUGUGCACCAAAAAGAAACCAAUACUGCGCCUGCCAUUAGUAACAUCAUGAGUUCCCAAGACAACAGAUCACAUUGGCUACAAAUGAUUCCCUUACCAAGUAGAAUCCAAGAAGAAAUGUAAAGAUAAGAUUGUGAAACUUUCAAAAAGUCCCCUUCCAGUACAUCUAAUACUAUGUAAUAGCAGGAUGGCUAACAAAUCUCCAUCCUGACAAGAAGCCCUAUUGUACUUUGAAAAAAGGGAGCCAUCAGCUAUGGAUCCUAUUCAAGAAAUAAUGGCAACCUGUGGUGAAGCUUAUGAUCCCAUUGGUUGAAGUGAAGAUCAAGUGGCAACACCCCACUUGCCCAGCGUUAAACAAGACCCUGUCUACUGUCCAUAGUCCCCACCCACUCCAACCCUAGAUGACGAUACCCCAAUCAGCUGGUUUCCUUUUGCUCAUACAAUACCUGGAGAAAUCACAGAUCCAGGAUCAGAUGACAGGAGGAAAGGACACAAAAAGAAGAGGAGAGACAAAGAAAACAGGAAGAAUUAAUUGACUAAUGACAAUCAGAGGAGGAAGAAAUUUGCAGGCAACAGGAAGCAACCACAAAGGAAGCUCCAGCACACCUCCUUCGACUCCUACCUUGCCACCAGAGGAUGCAGCAACCCCAUCAGUACCCCCUCCACAGAAAUCAACUGCCCAGAACCCAUUCCCCCUUCGUCCAGAUGCAACUCCUCAAAUUUUUAGGUUAUGGUGAUGUCAAUGGAACAAUUAUUCUUUCAUGGUGGAUCUACCAGAAUUACCCAGAGAGAAACAAUUAAUCCAGAUGAGGAUGUGUCUUGCCUUGGGGAGACAGGAUCCUCAAGCACACACUGGACAUAUAUCCCCUGGCCAGAUUAAGUAUCAAUGAAGUUUAGGGUGCCCUUCAAGAACACAUCAAGAGCCUUUGCAAUGAGAAUCUACGUCUUAGGCGGCUGCUCACUAGCAAACGAUUAGAGGGAGAAUCUUUUUCAGACGUACGUUGCAUAAGACUCAAGAACAUUGCUGAGGAAGUAAUCUUCAGUUAGUGAGCAAACCUAGAUGAAGAUGAUCAUCCUCAUGGAGUCAUGCAUGAAGAUCUAACCGAGAAACUUGGAGAUCUCAACACCAACAAUUCUACAGGAUGCUAACAAUACAUGUCGCAUCUAUAAGGCCACCAGGAAGGCCAUUUCUGCAAUUCGUGCUUCGCCCUCACACCACAGGAAGCAGAAGAAACAUAGAAUGGUUCCCACCCCUACCACAUCAUCACAAAGUUUUUCAUGCCAUUAGUGCAGCAGACAGGUCCAGUGCUGCCCCAGCAACUGAGAGGUAUAUUACAACAAUGCUGCUGGAAGAGGAUAGGGGAUGCCAGACAGGCUGCGACUUCCAGUGCCAAGUCUUCACCACCCUCUCUGGGCAACCUCAGUUGUCACUGGAUGGGAAAACCCUCUUCUAUCAAGACUGCAGCCAAUCUCCGUUUCCCUCUCGUAAAGUUACAUCACUUCAGGAUUCAGAUGUUGCCAGACACAAGUGCCAACAUGGCCCUCAGUAUCCUGAUUUGUGCUUUCCUAGGAGUGCACUACAACCCCACCAGUUGACCCGAUGUUCACUGCAGAUGGUUCUACAAUGACACCUCCCCUAGGAUCCUUCACAGUCACUCUCACCUUAGCUGAGAUGGCCUGUCCAGCAAGGACACAAGUCCAUGAAGAUGCCUGAACAUCACUGCUGUCAUAUAGCCACUGCAAAGAGUUGGCCAUUAUUCCACCAGUUAACCCAGACCAAUUAUGGAUGUUACGUAUGUCAAUACGUGUCCAGAGUUGCCUUUCCAUGCCACCACAUUGCCUGCUAAAGCCUUUUUUUUUUAAUAACACUAGUUAAAAGAUGAAAAAAGCCCCAUUCAAGGUGAUGGAAGGACCCCCAAUGUGAAUUCACCUAAAGGAAGAUGUUGUAGCUCUUGCCAACAGUACACCUUGAAGGGAGAAUGUUUUUGGUCUCUCUCACAAAACGCCUUUUGGUAAAUUUGCUCAUAAAUAUACCAACGGGUUGCUGAAUCUUCAUUCUCUGUAAAUUUACAUAAAUAUUUUUCAACAAAUACUAAGAAUUUAUUACUGCUUAUAUUUUUCGUAUUUUGAUAAUGUGUGAGCAAUAAUUAUAAUUUUACAAAAUAAAUUUAAUUUAUUAGAAAAAACAUGUAUAAGUUGGUAAAAUUUAUGGCUGUCUGUAAAAGGUAGGGAAAAUUUUUUAGAAUUUUUUUUCUUUCACCAUGUACAUUUGCAUAUCUUCCUCUUUCCAUU